rnacentral:rRNA from 1 species
AGUCCUACGGGAGGCAGCAGUGGGGAAUAUUGGGCAAUGGGCGCAAGCCUGACCCAGCAACGCCGCGUGAAGGAAGAAGGCUUUCGGGUUGUAAACUUCUUUUAUCAGGGACGAAACAAAUGACGGUACCUGAUGAAUAAGCAACGGCUAACUACGUGCCAGCAGCCGCGGUAAUACGUAGGUGGCAAGCGUUAUCCGGAUUUACUGGGUGUAAAGGGCGUGUAGGCGGGACUGGAAGUCAGAUGUGAAACCCAUGGGCUCAACCCAUGGCCUGCGUUUGAAACUGUAGUGCUUGAGUGAUGGGG